AGGGGAUAACAGCGCGAAAGCGGUGCUAAUACCGGAUACGAUUCUUGGUCGAGAGAUUGAGGAUGAAAGUCUGCCGCUCGAAGAAGCAGACGCACCUGGAGGGGCCUGCGUCCUAUCAGCUAGUUGGUAGGGUAACGGCCUACCAAGGCGACGACGGGUAGCUGGUCUGAGAGGAUGAUCAGCCACACUGGCACUGGAACACGGGCCAGACUCCUACGGGAGGCAGCAGUGAGGAAUUUUGCGCAAUGGCCGCAAGGCUGACGCAGCAACGCCGCGUGGGUGAUGAAGGCCUUCGGGUCGUAAAGCCCUGUCAGGUGGGAAGAAUGCCGCAAGGAUGAAUAAGCUUUGCGGGUGACGGUACCACCAGAGGAAGCACCGGCUAACUCCGUGCCAGCAGCCGCGGUAA
rnacentral:rRNA from 1 species